UAUGAAUCCCCUCCCAAGCAAAACGGCGCAUGGCUCCCUAUUUCUAGCUUCUUCUUCAUUUUUCUAAACUCAACAAUAAAAUCCCUCACUACCAAAAACCUAAGCGAUAGAGAGACCCUUCCCAUUUUCCUUUUCCUCUCAAUUUCACCUUCUACCAUCAUCGAACACCACAUACACACACACGAGAAAAUACACAAAAAUUCCGAAACUCAAUAAUAAAAAUCGGGUUCAGAUCUGAAAUACGGUGGUUUGUAAAAAGAAAGAAAGAACAGAUUAUAGAGUCUUUCAUAUUUCUGGGUUGCAAUAAUGUCCGCUUGAAGUUUUGUUGUUGUUGAUGCCGAAUUUCUACUGAGCUUCGGUUGGGUCCGUCUCGGCUUUUCUUUUUCUACUUUUGGUUCAGUUUAUUCAAGUAAUCUGUUAUUUCCAGGUAUUUCUCUUGAAAUUUGGAUUGCCAAUUGAAUAGGAAAUGUGUCUCUGAUGGAAGAUGUAUAUGAGUUGUGAAAUUAUUAGAAUUAGUCUUGUUCGGCUCUCAAUUUCUGUUCUCGAUCAAUGCUUUAGCAUUUUGGAUCACUAGUUUUCUUAUUCUAUUCUUAAAUUUCAUGGAAUGGGAGCACGAUUUAGAUACCAUUUUUGUGUGUGUUAUGUUGAAUCUGCCAUGGUCCCCUUCUGUAAUUUUUCUUAUCUCAUUUAUUUAAUUUGGAAUAUUCUAUAGUUGCUUAUUUCUUCACUCCACUCGCCUAUGUGUAUAAUUAUUGGUCAAAUGAGCAUUAGAUUGUACCUCAGUUUAUUUGUGGCUACUCAUGUUUUAGUUUUGACUCUAUACUCCUUAGUUUUCGCUUUUAAUUUGACUUCUAACCGCUAAAUAAAAUAUUCUUUGAUAUUAUCAGAUGUUUUAAAGAUGGGGUGAUAAUUGGAUUUGUACAAUUGAAAUAGCUGGCUUCAAAUACAU
rnacentral:lncRNA from 1 species